UUCCUGGUGGUCUAGUGGCUAGGAUUCUGCGCUUUCACCGCCAUGGCCCGGGUUCGAUUCCUGGUCAGGGAA
rnacentral:tRNA from 1 species